rnacentral:rRNA from 1 species
AUUGAACGCUAGCGGCAGGCCUAACACAUGCAAGUCGAACGAGUGGCGGACGGGUGAGUAAUGUCUGGGAAACUGCCCGAUGGAGGGGGAUAACUACUGGAAACGGUAGCUAAUACCGCAUACCAUCGGCGGCGCCCAGAUGGGAUUAGCUAGUAGGUGGGGUAACGGCUCACCUAGGCGACGAUCCCGAGCUGGUCUGAGAGGAUGACCAGCCACUCGGGAACUGAGACACGGUCCAGACUCCUACGGGAGGCAGCAGUGGGGAAUAUUGCACAAUGGGCGCAAGCCUGAUGCAGCCAUGCCGCGUGUAUGAAUAAGGCCUUCGGGUUGUAAAGUACUUUCAGCGAGGAGGCGUUACUCGCAGAAGAAGCAUCGGCUAACUCCGUGCCAGCAGCCGCGGUAAUUC